CACGUAGGGUGCGAGCGUUGUCCGGAAUUAUUGGGCGUAAAGAGCUCGUAGGCGGUGUGUCGCGUCGGCCGUGAAAACCUGCAGCUUAACUGUGGGCGUGCGGUCGAUACGGGCAUCACUGGAGUUCGGCAGGGGAGACUGGAAUUCCUGGUGUAGCGGUGAAAUGCGCAGAUAUCAGGAGGAACACCGGUGGCGAAGGCGGGUCUCUGGGCAGUAACUGACGCUGAGGCGCGAAAGCGUGGGGAGCGAACAGG
rnacentral:rRNA from 1 species